GGGCUAUACUGCAGUCGAGCGGACAGAUGGGAGCUUGCUCCCUGAUGUUAGCGGCGGACGGGUGAGUAACACGUGGGUAACCUGCCUGUAAGACUGGGAUAACUCCGGGAAACCGGGGCUAAUACCGGAUGGUUGUUUGAACCGCAUGGUUCAAACAUAAAAGGUGGCUUCGGCUACCACUUACAGAUGGACCCGCGGCGCAUUAGCUAGUUGGUGAGGUAACGGCUCACCAAGGCAACGAUGCGUAGCCGACCUGAGAGGGUGAUCGGCCACACUGGGACUGAGACACGGCCCAGACUCCUACGGGAGGCAGCAGUAGGGAAUCUUCCGCAAUGGACGAAAGUCUGACGGAGCAACGCCGCGUGAGUGAUGAAGGUUUUCGGAUCGUAAAGCUCUGUUGUUAGGGAAGAACAAGUACCGUUCGAAUAGGGCGGUACCUUGACGGUACCUAACCAGAAAGCCACGGCUAACUACGUGCCAGCAGCCGCGGUAAUACGUAGGUGGCAAGCGUUGUCCGGAAUUAUUGGGCGUAAAGGGCUCGCAGGCGGUUUCUUAAGUCUGAUGUGAAAGCCCCCGGCUCAACCGGGGAGGGUCAUUGGAAACUGGGGAACUUGAGUGCAGAAGAGGAGAGUGGAAUUCCACGUGUAGCGGUGAAAUGCGUACAGAUGUGGAGGAACACCAGUGGCGAAGGCGACUCUCUGGUCUGUAACUGACGCUGACGAGCGAAAGCGUGAGGAGCGAACUCGAUUAGAUACCCUGGUAGUCCACGCCGUAAAUGAUGAGUGCUAAGUGUUAUGGGGUUUUCGCCUCUUAUUGCUGCAUCUAACUGAUUUAAGCUGUCCGCCUGGGAGGACGGGCGGAAGAUCGAACUCAAAUGGAUUGACUGGGUGCCCAGCACAUGCCGUGGAGCAUGUGGGUGUAAUUCAAGGCAACGCAAGAAUCCUUACCGGGUCUUGACAUC
rnacentral:rRNA from 1 species